rnacentral:lncRNA from 1 species
ACUUGCAUUCAGACUCAGCCAGAUUCAGCCUGCCAGGAUCUCAGCAGGCCUUUUAGCAAGCGUUUAUGGCAGCCUCUCAGAAAGCCUCUCCCACAGGCUCUAGGCCAGCCUCCCAGUGAGCCAGCCUCUCAGCAAGCCUCUAUGCUACUUUUCAAGAGAGUCCUUCAGUACACCAGCCUCCCAUGCAGCCCGGGCCUUGGCCAGCCUUCCAGCCAGCCUCUAAGCAUAAAAACCACUUAAGAAGGCCCUGUUGCUUCCCUUCACCCUAAAACACUGCAGAGAGUGCCCUGAAAUAUUUGAAAUGUUGAAAAGCUGAACCUACAAAUGUCAAAACACAAAUGUAUAUUUGUUAUUGGGAAUGUUUUUCUCAACAAAAAUUGAAACAUGAAAAAUAAUAAAAUCUAAUUACUUA